UACGUAGGGGGCAAGCGUUGUCCGGAUUUAUUGGGCGUAAAGAGCGUGUAGGCGGUUUGGUAGGUCCGCUGUGAAAACUCGAGGCUCAACCUCGAGACGCCGGUGGAAACCAUCAGACUAGAGUCCGGAAGAGGAGAGUGGAAUUCCUGGUGUAGCGGUGAAAUGCGCAGAUAUCAGGAGGAACACCGGUGGCGAAGGCGGGUCUCUGGGCCGAUAUCGAUGCGCUGGAGGAGCGAAAGCGUGG
rnacentral:rRNA from 1 species